rnacentral:lncRNA from 10 species
GCGCGCAGCCGGCCGCCCUCAACCGCUCCCAGCAUCGGUUGCCGGUGGUUCGGGGCAGGGAGACGACGCAGCGCGAGCGGAAAGGGCGGUUACCCAACGGCCUUAGCUCUCAUGGCGUCCUCCGUGGUGUUACCUAAAAAUAAAGUUAUUUGUGAUUAGAAGGUAAUCGCCUCCUGGUCAUGCUUCCGCUGGUCAACAGUGUCUGCGGGGCGACCCCAUCCUUGUGGCCAGAGAGGGCCUGUGGCUGCGCUCAAGGCGGGAGCGGUCCUUAGCGGGGCCCUGCGGGACGCCCAGGCCGCGCUCCUUUCCCUUGCUCGCCUGGCCUUGAAGUGAAGGGGGAGGUUUAACAAUGCAGUGGGAACCCCAAAGUUUGUCUCGGCCGUGCUGCUCACAUUCCAAACAAUGCAAAAGGUUGAGGAAAACCUCAGCAGUUGAAACCGUGAUGCAUUUCAGCAAAGAAGUAGCUCCUGUCCUCGUAAAAUCAGUGAAGUUCUCACGGACGACCUCAUUGAGAGUUUUCAUGGGCUGAGCUGCUGACUUCAGCCUGGGAACUGAGGCCAACAUCGGAGUCUCCUCGGCACACAAGUUUGAAAGAAGUCCUAGUGACUUCAAGCUCAGAACCAUGGACGGCAGGGCUCCCUCUGGAUGUGGAAUUCUCCGUCCCUUUCCAGGGAGGGAACAAAGCCCACAAGCACCGGGACUCCUUCAGGGUGAGCAAAGGCCUGGAAAAACCUGUAUGCAGAUAAAGAAAAGGAAAGAAAGAGAUAAUCAGUGCAUGCAGUUGUCAGCUGGCUGGGACCUGAGGAGAGUCACUUGUGGAGGCAACUGGUCUUUAUCCCCAUUGUCCGGUACAAGGCAGGCAUUAAUCCUGUGAUCCUUAUCUGAAGCUCAGGUUUGAUUUUAUUCUUUUCUUAAGUACCUACUGUUAUCCCCAAGCUUAUAAUAAUAGUUUAAUUGUUACAGCCAGUAUCUCACCUUCAGAAGUAAGAUGCUUAGGAAACCAAGACAAGGAACUGUGUGUUGCAAACAGCAUCACCCUGGAGAAGAGGUGGCAGGAGGUGACCUACAGAAAAUGGAGUAAUAGCCUAGAGCAAGAAACACAGAACAAAAGAGAAAUGAGGGGUUAGGCAACCUCCUGGAGCACCAAUGGGACAAGCACAUAUUCAGGGGCCUCCUAACAGACUCGACUUCCAGCAUCCUCAGAUGGUGCUAGACACGUUACAUAGACGUUCAAGAGUAGAGAACUCAGGGACUUCUGAUUUAUAUCAAGAAAUGCAUACACAGCAGACGUGUGCCUGUGGAGUGGAAUUCUGGAAAAGCUCACAGCCCAGAACAUAAUGCAGACUCCCCCAGCCACAGCACCUUCCAAACCUGAGAAGAGUGCUGAUUCUCCAUCUGAGCACCCAUUCUCCUGCAACAUCAGGGGAGAGGAUUUCACCUAAGGGUCAGACCAGCAUCUCCAAACCCAGCUCCCCACCUUUGCCUGUUGGUGGCACUUGUGGGAGAAGGGGAGAUGGUAUGAAAAGAGCCACAACAGGAGUCACCUGGACAGGGUGGAGCUUGAUGGAAACUGACAUUUGUGCCCAUUGGAGGCAAAUGUAGAAUUUGGUAUCUUCCGUAGCGUCAGGCACAUGAAACUCUCCAGUGCCCAUGACUUUUGACAGUGACUUCAGAGCACAUCUGGGAGACCCAUGUGGCCCAGGCUCCACACAGGCAGGAGCUCAGCUUCACUCACAGCAGGAUUCCUAGUGCCAAGAACACCAUAGGUGCAUAGCAGGUGAUCAAAAUAAUUGUAUGUGGCUGAAUCAGUGAGAGGUAAGAGAGAGGACUUGAUCCUAGCUGCAAACUAAGAGACCUCAUUAAAACCUAACAUGUGGCUGGGUGUGGUGGCUCACGCCUGUAAGCCCAGCACUUUGGGAGGCCGAGGGGUGGAUCACCUGAGGUCAGGAGUUCAAGACAAGCCUGGCCAACGUGGUGAAAACCCAUCUCUACUAAAUAUACAAAAAAUUGGCUGGGCAUGGUGGCAGGUGCCUGUAAUCCCAGCUACUUGGGAGGCUGAGGCAGGAGAAUCACUUGAACCCAGGAGGCGGAGGUUGCAGUGAGCCGAGAUUGCACCACUAUACUCCAGCCUGGCAAUAAGAGCAAAAGUCCGUCUCAAAACA